rnacentral:rRNA from 1 species
UGGGGGUUGUAGGACUGCAAUGUGCAAGAGGUGAGUUUAGCAGAACAUUCUGGAAAGUAUAGCCAUAGAGGGUGAUAGUCCCGUAUGCGAAAAACAAACCUUAGCUAGCAGUAUCCUGAGUAGGGCGGGACACGAGAAAUCCUGUCUGAAGCUGGGUCGACCACGAUCCAACCCUAAAUACUAAUACCAGAUCGAUAGUGCACAAGUACCGUGAGGGAAAGGUGAAAAGAACUGAGGUGAUCAGAGUGAAAUAGAACCUGAAACCAUUUGCUUACAAUCAUUCAGAGCCCUAUGUAGCAAUACAGGGUGAUGGACUGCCUUUUGCAUAAUGAGCCUGCGAGUUGUGGUGUCUGGCAAGGUUAAGCAAACGCGAAGCCGUAGCGAAAGCGAGUCUGAAUAGGGCGCUUAGUCAGAUGCUGCAGACCCGAAACGAAGUGAUCUAUCCAUGAGCAAGUUGAAGCUAGUGUAAGAACUAGUGGAGGACUGAACCCAUAGGCGUUGAAAAGCCCCGGGAUGACUUGUGGAUAGGGGUGAAAGGCCAAUCAAACUUCGUGAUAGCUGGUUCUCUCCGAAAUAUAUUUAGGUAUAGCGUUGUGUCGUAAUAUAAGGGGGUAGAGCACUGAAUGGGCUAGGGCAUACACCAAUGUACCAAACCCUAUCAAACUCCGAAUACCUUAUAUGUAAUCACAGCAGUCAGGCGGCGAGUGAUAAAAUCCGUCGUCAAGAGGGAAACAACCCAGACUACCAGCUAAGGUCCCUAAAUCUUACUUAAGUGGAAAACGAUGUGAAGUUACUUAAACAACCAGGAGGUUGGCUUAGAAGCAGCCAUCCUUUAAAGAAAGCGUAAUAGCUCACUGGUCUAGUGAUUUUGCGCGGAAAAUAUAACGGGGCUAAAGUAAGUACCGAAGCUGUAGACUUGCGCACAACUUAGAUUAUUUAAGUUUAGAAUAUGAGAAACUAAGUUAUAU